rnacentral:lncRNA from 1 species
AGGCCGGCUCAGUUGCAUUCGAUCAGUAGCUCCUAAGAGUCCAUAAAUAGUACUUCUUGUAGGUAAUACCUCAUGGAUGCUACGGUGAAUUCAUUAUUGGUCACUGGCGGGGCCUGCUCAGUUAUUAGUCGGCCACUGGCGGGGCUGGCUCAGUCAUUAUCGGCCACUGGCAAGGCCGGCUCAGUUGCAUUCGGCCCGUAGCAUUAAGAGCCCUUAGGUACCCCUUGCAAGAAGUGCGCAUAGCUAGAUACAAUUCAUCAUCUUAUUUUAUACUUAUAUCACAAUUAAUUGGAAAACAUGGUGAUAUAAUCCAAUUUAUCUUGCAUGAACAAUAAAAUCUGCAUCGGCAUAAUAUAUGCAUAAUCAUGGAUUGUGUGACUAAAACAUGCCACUCGUAUACAUGAUCUAUAACAGAUUACUACACAACAUAUAUGCAAAUUUAAAUUGCAUGAAUGACACUUAUUCUCAUAAUACAUGAUCUAUAAUAGAAUUAAGACGGUCUAUUUGUAUGCGUGACAGGUUACUACAUGCAUGAUCCAUAACAAGAUUAAGACGAGUAACUUACUUCUUAUAAUACACCCAUUCAUGAAAUAUAUACACAAAUAAUACUUUAAAAUCUUAAUAAACAUAAUACUCACAUGAUCCACAAUAAGAUUACAAUAGAUUACUUACAGUGAUUCGCUUUCCACAUUUCUCAAGUCCAAGUGACAAAUCCUUAAUCACCUAAAACAAUAUCAUAGGGAUUACAUUAUUUCCCAUUUAUUUAUUAUAAAAUUUCUUAGUUCAUCAUACUAUGAACUUACUUGCUUGGAUCCCAUCCAAGGAUUUAGCCCAAGUCCAAUUUACCCAAUUUAGAGCCUUUGGAGCUCAGUUUAAAACCAGAUUGGGUCCACAUAGGUUAAUUGGGUUUUUAAUUAAAGGAUUGGGCCUGAUUUAUAAUCAAUUAGGUCAGCUGAGAUCCACAUACUUAAUUGGGAUCGGAUCUGGUUUAAAUUGGGCUCGCUAGACUUAGCCCAAUCUGAUUGGGCUUGGGUUCAGGUUCAAUUGGCUAAACCAAUUUCUUAUUAUUGGGCUUAACGGGUUUCGGAUCCGAACCCGAUUCCGACCCAUUAACCCACUCUUUUCUUUUCUCUUCUCUUUUUUUUUUCUUUUCUUUUCUUUUCUUUUUCUUUUUCUUUUUCUUUCUUUUUCUUCACUGUUUCUUUUCUUCUCCUUCCCGAAGCUUCCCCUUCUCCUCCCGUUCUUUCUUCUUCUCCCUUCCCCUCUCUCGCCUUCUGUGACCGAAGAGGGGCGACCCUCUGCCGAGGC